rnacentral:rRNA from 1 species
AGUGAACGCUGGCGGUAGGCCUAACACAUGCAAGUCGAACGGCAGCACAGUAAGAGCUUGCUCUUACGGGUGGCGAGUGGCGGACGGGUGAGGAAUACAUCGGAAUCUACUUUUUCGUGGGGGAUAACGUAGGGAAACUUACGCUAAUACCGCAUACGACCUACGGGUGAAAGCAGGGGAUCUUCGGACCUUGCGCGAUUGAAUGAGCCGAUGUCGGAUUAGCUAGUUGGCGGGGUAAAGGCCCACCAAGGCGACGAUCCGUAGCUGGUCUGAGAGGAUGAUCAGCCACACUGGAACUGAGACACGGUCCAGACUCCUACGAGAGGCAGCAGUGGGGAAUAUUGGACAAUGGGCGCAAGCCUGAUCCAGCCAUACCGCGUGGGUGAAGAAGGCCUUCGGGUUGUAAAGCCCUUUUGUUGGGAAAGAAAAGCAGCAGGUUAAUACCCCGCUGUUCUGACGGUACCCAAAGAACAAGCACCGGCUAACUUCGUG